GUAAGUAACAUUCUCAGGUGGUGUUCCAAAGUUAUCUUUUGCCUGGGUACAGUGGCUCACACCUGUAAUCCCAGCUCUUUGGGAGCCCAAGGUGGGAGGAUCACUAGAGGCUAACAGUUUGAGACCAGCUUGGGCAAUGGAGUGAGACCCCCAUUCUGAAAAAAAAAAAUCAAAAAAUUUAACAGGCAUGGUGGCAUGUGCCUGCAGUCCCAGCUACUCAGGAGGCUGAGGUGGGAGGAUCGCUUGAACUCAGGAGUUGAAGGCUGCAGUGGGUGAGGAUCACAACACUGAAUUCCAGCUGAGGUGACAGAAUGAGACCCUGUCUCUCUAAAAAACAAGCAAGCAAACAAACCAAAAACCACAAACAAACCAGACCCCUCUUAGCAGAAUACUUCCAUGAGGUAAUAAAAGGUUUAAUUUAUUUCAGAAGUUUCUAGAUUUUAUUGUCUCUAUUUAGCCAAAGCCAUAAGAAAAGUCAAAUUCAUAUCUUUAAAUGCUUUCAUUAUCAAUCAAGAAAGAAGAAAGUGAAACGAACAAACAAUUUUACUCAAGAAACUAGUGAGAAAUCAAAGAAAUGUCCAAGAAGUAGGAUACAAGAAUUAAUCAAAACAGAUUAACAGUGGAAUAAAUAAAUGAAUCCAACUGGUUCUUUGUAAUGGAAUGUGGAAAGACAUACUCUAUUCUUCUGGAUAGGAAGAUGAAAUAUCAUAAUCAUAUCAAUGCAAGUUUUAUGCAUGCUCAAACAUGUAUAAACUAAGAAAAAAUCUGAAAGGACAGACAGCAAAAUGUUUGCAGUUUUUUUCCUCCAAGUGGUAAGAUUAAAGAACACAGACAAAAAUAGAAACUCCUCACAUGACCCACCACGAAGCCCAUCAGAUGGCAGAAUGCAGAAUCAGGUUGCAGUGGACUGAUCUUAAAACAGAUGAAGCAGUGGAGAAAAUCUUCCUGGAGCUGAUGGUAUAAUUUGCUUCUUGAAACAAUGACAGUCCAUGAAAUAAGGUGGGGAAGAUGUUUUGAACCUCUCUCAGCAGCAGAUCCCUAAAUCACAGACCCAGAACUUGGAGGAAACAGGAAACAGGAGGCCAUCUCUGCACCUCUCCAGCACUGCUCUGGUUGGUGGGCAGAAUAUCAUAAAAUCAUCACGAUUCUUAUAUCAAAAACCAAAUUCUAGACUGAUUAAAUAAUUAUUUUUUUAAAUGAGAAAAGUUAUCGUUUAUUUGAUCUUGGGCUAGGGAAGAUAUUUCCAAGCAAAAAGGGUAAAAAGAAGGAAAAAGAAACGAUUAACAGAUUGGAAGGCAAUAACAAUAUAAUAUCAAGUGCUGGCAAGAGCUCAGGGAAGUGCGUGUUCUCAUGACUGCUGGAACAAAUUGGUAUAAUAUUUCUGAAGGGCAAUCUGGCUGAAUAUGUUAGAAGUCUUUAAAAUAUUUAUCCUCUGACUCAGUAAUUCCACAUCUAGAAAUUUUUCCUAAGU
rnacentral:lncRNA from 10 species